rnacentral:rRNA from 1 species
UACGUAGGGUGCGAGCGUUAAUCGGAAUUACUGGGCGUAAAGCGUGCGCAGGCGGUUCGUUAAGUUCGUUGUGAAAGCCCCGGGCUCAACCUGGGAACUGCAAUGGAAACUGGCGGGCUUGAAUGCGGCAGAGGGGGGUGGAAUUCCGCGUGUAGCAGUGAAAUGCGUAGAGAUGCGGAGGAACACCGAUGGCGAAGGCAGCCCCCUGGGCCGCAACUGACGCUGAGGAGCGAAAGCAUGGGGAGCGAACAGG